UACGUAGGUGGCAAGCGUUGUCCGGAUUUAUUGGGUUUAAAGGGUGCGUAGGCGGUCUAUUAAGUCAGUGCUGAAAUAUCCCGGCUUAACCGGGAGGGUGGCAUUGAUACUGAUGGACUUCAGUAAAGUUGAGGUUGGCGGAAUUGACGGUGUAGCGGUGAAAUGCUUAGAUAUCGUCAAGAACACCUAUUGCGAAGGCAGCUAACUAAGCUUAAACUGACGCUGAGGCACGAAAGUGUGGGGAUCAAACAGG
rnacentral:rRNA from 1 species